UACGUAGGGGGCAAGCGUUAUCCGGAAUCAUUGGGCGUAAAGCGCGUGUAGGCGGUUCUGUAAGUCCGCUCUGAAAGCCCAGGGCUCAACCCUGGGAGGCGGGUGGAUACUACAGAACUGGAGUACGGAAGAGGAGAUUGGAAUUCCUGGUGUAGCGGUGAAAUGCGCAGAUAUCAGGAGGAACACCAACAGCGAAGGCAGAUCUCUGGGACGUUACUGACGCUGAGACGCGAAGGCGUGGGGAGCAAACAGG
rnacentral:rRNA from 1 species